GCAAAGUUCAGUGUUACUGUUACAAUCAAUUAUGGUUGAUUUCGAGUGCUACAAAGUCUAUCAAGAAUAAUGCCGGGAUUUGUCAGAUGCCAGGAGAAUGAAGCUCUCGUUGUUUCGGGUUGUGGUCUUCAUAAACCGAAAAUAGUGAGUGAUGGAGUAACUUUCAUAUGGCCAGGACUUCAGAAGGUGGACAGAUUGGUCACCAAACCUUUUGAUAUAAAAGUAGACCUCAAGAAUCAGCCAACUCAAAACUCAACCGUAUUAGUAAAUCUUAAGGCCCAAGUUCAGAUGAGAAUUGGAACCGAGAACGAAGAGCUGUUACGUGAAGCAAUUGGUUCAUUUUUGUCUAAAUCAGAAGAAGAAAUACAAAAGACUUUACAAGGAACUGUCGAAGGAAUCCUGUCAACGGCUUUAGGAUCAAUGACUGCCGAGGAUUUAAAGUCUAAGGAAGAGACUUUUAAAAGUUCAGCAUCUGAAGCUCUGUCUAUGGAAUGUAUAAAUAUGGGUGUCCUUGUUGGGAGUAUUAGUGAUAUUGAGAUUUCUGAUGACCAUGGUUUUUAUAAGAAUUUAAAAAUGAAAGAAAUGAAUGACAAUCUUACUGAAAUUAACUUGACUACAACAUGAUAUUUGACUUAGGUGGCAAAUAAGGAAAAAAUAACAUGCAAUUUUAAUCUGGCGCUGUAUACAUAUAUAUGUACAUGUCUUAUUUAAUUGGUAUCCUGUUUGUCUGUUAUAAGCAGCAGGGGAUUAUUAAAAGGGGUUUGUCCUUUCUGUCUGGUUGAGUUACCAUGAUGUUAAACCAGGGGUACACACUACACCACUUUGACUUGGAUUUUUCUUUUAAUAAACAAUAUUUCUAUUCCAUAAAUAUCUAAAUUUGGAUUGGGGAACAGGCUAGGCUUCUGUGUGUCCCCUAUCUCUAAGCUUAAGUUGUACCAAUGAAUAAUGCAUUUCUAUUUAUGUUGUGAAUAAUUUUUUUUCUUCAUUUCUUAUAAAUGGUGCUCUUAGUAAAUGUUUACAGUAUUACUAAAUGAUAUUUUUAAUUAUUUAUUUAAAAAUUGUUUUGAAUUUACUAAAUAUUACAAUGUUAGUAAAUGUUUACAAUAUUACUAAUAUGUAAUGAUAUUUUCUAAUUAUUUAUUUAAAAAUUGUUUUGAAUUAUUUUUCUUUUAUAUUAUUAUUGGUAAGAUGUACUUUUUUUUAAAACCAAAUAUUUAAUCUAUUGUAUGUUAUAAAAACUUAUAUUUACCUUUAGGCUUGGCAGGCUGAACCCUAGUGGAAGUGCCGGGUUUACCUGAACCCUAGGGCCCUAAUAUACUCUUCAAAAAAAGUAGGGAUAUUCAAAAACAAUAAAAAAACUGCGAAAAUGCACUGCUGUUUUUAUAAGAGGUAACCAGUGUAUGUUAAUAACAAGCCAAUUGCCUACACAUGAACAUAAACGCCCCCAUUUCACUUGCAAAGAGAUACACCGUCAAAAGUGAAAAUGGAAGUUUUUGAUUUUUGUCUUAAUAAUGAGUAAUUGCUCCACCAAUCCUCAGACAUUCAGCAAUUCGUUGUGUCAUGGUCCUAAUAAACCAUCCAAUCACAAUUUGGGGCUACCUGACCCACUCCUCUUGCAGUGCCACAGCCAUUUCUUGCAGUGUUGUCGGUUGACAUUGAUGUCGACGACACGUCUACCGAUCAAAUUAAACGUAACACACUAAAGCAAAGAUAUGCUAAACAGUAAAUCUUAUGCAAGAACCGAUAGGAAAGCCAACAUGGAUAGAUAAUCAAGCACGCGGCAGCUUUCAUCAACCCUUCCUUGAAGUGUCAAAUUUGACAAUGAGCCCCUCCCACGUGUAUGGUGCUAUUGCGUGUCGCAUGUGCAGCUCAGUGGUUCUGUUGGGGUGAUAGGUUCUUCAUCUGUGAACAUACUCUCAAAGCAUGUCAAGUGUCCAUGACUAUUUAUCAUAUCACAACCUGCAUAGGUAUUUGCAUUUCAAUAUCCCCUACUUUUUUGAAGAGUAUAUAUGGAGUCCCCGACCAAGGUGUAUAAUAUUUUUGACACUGCCAUAAGUCUUUCUUACAUGCACUGUGGUCUUAAACAUCUGUCAUCAUCCUCGGCUUUGCUCAUUAGUGUUUAAAACACACUUUUUCUUCCUCUAGUCGUAAGAGUGGGGACAUUGAGAGUUGCCUCUAAAGCGGGAUAGCCUAAACCUUUCUUUGUCUAAAUCCAACACUUUAUUUACCUUUUAAACAUUAUAGUUAACUCUAGCAAGGUACUGAGGAGAGGAUUUCAAGAUUUCUAAAGGCAGGUUCAUUUUGAGACUCUAGGCAUAUGUGCUGGAUCGGGGGCUUGUCCAGGAAUUUGAGCAAGAGAUGGACCGGCUGGUUGGAGAGAAUGUCAGGUUUUGUGUGAGGUGUUUGAUAAAAUCUGAAUCCCUAAGACAAUAUUUCUGCUCAUGUAGGUGCAUAAUAGGAUUACACUGGAGUGAGGCAAAAAUGGUGGCAAACAAUACUUCAUACGUUUGUUUGUUUGGGGUUAUUUCAAUGAAUAAACGAUAUCUAUGAUGCAACAAAUCCACUAUUACUAUAACUCAAAAUAAUUUAUACCGAUUUUUGAUAACUUGUCAUUCUUUAUGCCAAAUUGACAUUUUUAAUUUAGUAGGACGUUAAAGCCCAUUUCAUUUCAUUUCAUUUCAUUUCAUUUCAUUUUUCAUUUAAAAUCAUAACGUUAUUGUGUCAAAAUUCCCCUCAAAAUGAUUUUUUCAAUCGAGGGAUUUCUUGGAAUACACAAAUUAAGUCCCUUAAUUGGUUACUGAAGGAAUGCCUUUUAAACACUGGUAGAAAGUUGUUUAAUAGAUUUACUCACAAUGUCCAUCUUUUUUUUUUACAUUUAAACAACAUUAUAUUACACUAUCUACUAGCUACAUUAUAUUUAAUCUGAUAUACAAUUGUUUUAUAAAGUUUGUAUUGCGUU